rnacentral:tRNA from 1 species
GGCCGCGUGGUGGAAUGGUAGACACAGCAGACUUAAAAUCUGCAGCUCGCAAGGGCGUGCCGGUUCGAGUCCGGCCGCGGCCACCA